CUUUGGACUUCCAGAGGUAAAAUUCCAGAGAUAAUGCUCUUCAUUUUGUUUAGAUAACAUGACUCUCCUGUAUGUGAACAAAUCUUUAAAGGCUACAAUAAAGGAUGAAGGAGUUGAUUGGGAUGACAGCACCAUUUCUAGAGUGAUGUGCUUGCCAUGGUUCGGCCAGCUGAUUCUACCUGGAGAAAAUAUGGAAUUGCCUAUGGCUUUACGGAUACUCACAAGCUACACCUAACUGCCAGGCUCCACCUCUGGGCUGCCAUCUUGCCCACGCAGGCCACCUCCCCACGUUCUUUGUCCCGGGCGCUCCAGGCCAGCCCUCUGCUGCAGGGGAAGAACCGGAAGCGGAAGUACACUGCCCUGAGGACCAACACGUCUGACUGUCAUGCCGUGAAGCCUUAUUUUAUUUAUCAUGUUGAUUUGAUCACUUUUUUCUGCUGAAAAAUAAUACUCACUGUUGACCAUUGGGAAAAGGUAAAAGAAAAAGGAAAUAGAGCCACGGGUUCUACCUGAAGACAAUCAAAUCAGUAUUUACAAUUUUGGUGAGUAUUCUCCCACGAAUUUUUUCCCAAUCAUAUUUGAACGACAGACUGGAUUAUGCUGCAGUGAAAACAAAAACAAAAAGAUCCUAAUUUCAGUGGGUGAAAUGCAUAUGGGUUUAUUUCUCCUUGGGCCCUUUGUGGAUCCCAAGUCUAACAGGCAGGAUCAACUAAUAGUAUGAACAACGGUACAUCAUUUCUGGAUAUUUUUUUCUCAUUCCAAAGAAAUACACAGCUGACAGAAGAAGAUUCAAGAACUCAGCAGAGCAUGAGGAGCAUAAAAAUCACUUUUAGUCCUGCCAUUCACCUAUCACCUUUUAAGGCACUUGGGGC
rnacentral:lncRNA from 1 species